rnacentral:rRNA from 1 species
AGCUUAAAGAAUAUAUUUUAAGUAAAUUCUGCCCAGCGUAAAUUUAAUUAGCGGCCGCAGUACCUUGACUGUGCUAAGGUAGCAUAAUCAAUUGGCUUUUAAUUGAAGUCUGGAAUGAAAGGAAAAAUAAAGAAUUAACUGUCUCUUUUUAAUUUAUGUGAAUUUAUUUAUUAAGUGAAAAUACUUAAAUUUAGAAAAAAGACGAGAAGACCCUUAGAAUUUUUAUUAAUAUUAUUUUUUGUAUUUAUAUUUUUGUUGGGGCGACAAUGAAACAUAUUUAACUUUUAAGUUUUUCAAGAAAUUAAUUUUUGUACGGUUAAAUUACCUUAGGGAUAACAGCAUAAUAAUUUAUAUAGCUUAUGACCUCGAUGUUGGACUAGGAACUAAAAGACUAACCGUCAAAAUAGAUUGUUCUGUUCGAACAAAAAUCUCCU